rnacentral:rRNA from 1 species
AUGACUUCCAUAGGCAUCGCCUAUCAGUCAUUGAUCUGCCAGAGCUGUGUGCGAGCAGCUGGACCCCCCCUCCUCAUCUCGGUGGAUGACAGUGGGCUGGGGCUCGUCCACCUAGACCAGGAUGGGCUAUGCUCCAUUUGGUCGGUGGAGGUGAGUGUUGAUGGAGUAGCGUCGUGUAUCCAACUCAAAGAAAUGGACCUCAAGGCGCUUGUCCCCAUUGGCUAUCCCAUGAGCUCAGACUCUCUAAAGUUGGUUGGCUGGGUGGAGGGCACCGAUAUCAUCAUUGCGGUCACAGAUCUUGGUGUGUUCACAAUUGAUCUCAAGUCUUUGAGGUUGAGGAAGUUGUCGAGUAAGCCAUAUAGUUUCACAUUCAAGCGAGAUUCAUUUAAAAACCUCUUUCUCUACACGAGCUUCAACAAUCCGCCAGCGGUGGCAGGUGCUGUGGCCGUGGCUGAAGCAAGAUCAGCAAGUUAA